UACGGGGGGGGCAAGCGUUGUUCGGAAUUACUGGGCGUAAAGGGCUCGUAGGCGGCCAACUAAGUCGGAUGUGAAAAUCCCCCAGGCUUAACCUGGGAACUGCAUCCGAUACUGGAUGGCUUGAAUCCGGGAGAGGGAUGCAGAACUUCCAGGUGUGAGCGAUGAAAUGCGUAGAUAUCUGGAGGAAUGACCGGUGGCGAAGGCGGCCCCC
rnacentral:rRNA from 1 species